rnacentral:tRNA from 1 species
GUAUUAGAAGCUAAUAUAUAAGCAUUGGUCUUGUAAAUCAAAGAUAGAGGUAUUCCUCCUAAUACU